AAUGGCAAAUACAGGCGCCCAAUUUUUUAUUCGAAGAUAGUAUAAUAUCUUAAAUCGUGUUUCUAAUUGUUAUAUUCUGUGUUUCUAUCCACCUUGGUCCUGUCAUAAAAUCAAAUUUAAUUUUAAGAAAAGUUCUUUGAAAUCUGUCGAUGAAAAAUAAUAUUCUUAAGUAAUAAAUUAAAAAUUAAAUAGUAGUACAACUUCUAUAACAAUACACAAAUACAGAUUCACAGUGUAAUUUGCUGUGGCCGCUUUGCAUAUCAAAGCAAAAUCAUAUUAUAUUUUAAUUUUUAACCAUCUCGCGUGGAGUUGCCUGUGAGUUUCGCUUAUGGUUAUAUGAACAGUAUAUUAUGAGAAAGACAAAUCAUGGAAGUUGAAACAUUGUCCUCUAAGUUAAAAGGUACACGUCCACCUGUUCAGAUAAUUCAACAUAAAUCAAGAAAACGAAUAAGCAAAAUUCAAAAAACCAAUUAUCUGAAGUCUGUUACUUU